AAAUAUACAAUUUGGUCAUGAAAUAAAUGGUUAUUCUGGGUAUUUCAGCUUUAAAGUCCUUCCCCCAAGAAAUGAAAAUAUGAGGGUCAGCAGUGACCACGUGAAAGUAACUUUGUUCUCUAGCAUUGCCCGUCCCCCGUCCCUGGUCCCCCGUCCCCAGCCCUGUGUGGGGUUAUGCCGCUGGGGCUGCUGGCGCCUUGGCUGACUUCCAGUACGCCACGUAUGCGAGAAGAACUUGAACGCUAGGUCUUCUCCCUCCACCUCCUAAACGCUGUCCGCGUUUGAUUCUGGUUUAAAACCGGAAAGUUGUUCUGCCAGCAAACUCUAGUUUUUCCUAAUGAUCCCUAGUGGGGUGCUCGGGCCGUCUUGUUGGCUCCAGAGCUCUUCCCUCGCACGAGUUGAAAGCCCAGGAUCCAUUUCCGGGUGACAUCGUGUCUACGGCCUCUGUCACCACGGCCCCUCGGGAAAUGUAGUUUUAGGUUCGCGUGGGUUGCGCCUUCCCCUUCACUCCCCCUCUUCCGAAGGAAGCUUCUUUUCCCGCGCCUCGCACGCUAGCGCGGGUGGCAGAAACGGAAGUGACGUCCGCGCCGAGACAGGGAUUGGGGUGAGGGCGCUCGGGGCUGAGACGCUCCUUGCAGCGCUUGCUGCUGUGCCUAUGACAGAUGGUGGGAUUUCCGAGUAACUAUUUACAGUGAUCUGGUGCUUAGAACCCUAGCUGUCUGGCUUUGAACUUGAGCUGUACCAGAGGAUGACUGACAUAUGCCAUGCUUCUGCUCAAGUGCUGGAAUUACAGAGAAUGCAGUCAGAAAUUAUGCUGCUUGUGAAGAGAUACAUUGAGCCUUUUGGUCCAGUGAAGUUAUUAAGAAUGUGAUUUAAAAUUGUGAUAAAAUCUGGAUUGCUGGGAAGCCAGAAUUUUGUCGUUGGUUAAGAUAAACUUCUAAGGUCUGCCCCUCAGAUUGUCCUACUCAAGAUUUGCCAGCACACCAGGAUGAAUCAAUUGUUUCCAUGGAUAGACACCUUUGGGAGACAGUUGGAAAGCCUUGGUUAACCUGGAACUUUAGUCCACCAUGGUUUCAAAGUUGGCAAUCCCUUAACUACUUCCUCCUGAGUGCUAGGAUUACAGGUAUUCACCAGCCCAUCUCAGCCACUAUUAAUACCUGCCAUUGCCUCUUUAUGAAAUGAUGGCCAGUCUAGCUGAGUGUGGGAAAUUGUGGAUAGUGGCUGACUAUCUUUUUGUUGCUCUUCUUUUGGCUAGACUCAAACCCAGGAUCAUGGACAUACUAAACAAUUGCUCUAGCACUGAACUGUAUCUCUGCCUCUGGGGAAGGUAUCUUUAAAAAAAGGUUGUAGAGUUUGCCAGAUCCUAUGAGUGACCUCAAAAGAGAAGAGGAGGGUUCUCCCCUCAGUGAUAAAGAAUUCUGAGGAGUUAAUGCUUCCAUGAAUAUCUCAGAAGGAGACAUGGACAAAGGAACAGGUAUCUCACUCCAAUAGGUUGGACCACAGUGAUCUUUGAUUAAAAGUUUCAUCAUUUCAAUCUGGGGUCUGCUGUUAUGAUGUGUUUCAGCAAUUUCUCUUCCUCACACUGCUCAGAACUGGAUGUGUGAAAAGCUGCAUUGUGAAUAAAAACUCAGUGUGUGUUGGGAGUAGAGUCCUUGUUGCUAUCUGGAUGUAACAACAGGAGUGACACACAAAGCCAAUGCAGAGGAAGGUGUUGCUCAUCAAUGGGUCCAGUACCUGAGGAACAAGAGAACCAACAGGAAGUGGACAGCAGUGUGACCUUUUGAGAGAAGACUUGAGCAAAAAGGUUGACUCAAUUGGACUUGCCUUUUUUUGAAUGUAAAGAACAUGCAUAAUUUUAUAAUCUUGGAAGUAACUGCUUAUUAUAUACCAUUCAGUACUAAACAAUUUUAUAGCACAAGAGAUAUCUUACUAUAUAUUUUUAUUAUAGUUUUUCAUUUCAAAAUUUAAAAGUAUAUUUCUAUGUUAUGUUUUUUGAUAAAUACAAUAUAAAGUCUAAAUAUGGAGUUUACUAGAUUGUUUUAUACUAUCAUAUUUACUUUUUGAACCUUGCGGAUUUUUCUUUUAUGAAAUGUAACAUUAUACAUACAUGUCUUGUAUGUACUGAAUAAAUUUCUAGGGGGCUAGAGAGAUGGCUCAGCAGGUUAAGAGCACUGCGUGUUCUUCCAAAGGUCUCUGGUUCAAUUCCCAGCACCCACAUGGCAGCUAACAACUGUCUGUCACUCCAAGAUCUGACACUUUCAUACAGACAUACAUACAGACAAAAAAACCAAUGCAAAUUAAAUAAAAAUAAAUAAUAAAUAAAUAAUAAAUAUUUUUUAAAAAAAUAAAUUUCUACCAAUGAAGACUUCUUGGCAUCAUAAG